rnacentral:rRNA from 1 species
GACGAACGCUGGCGGCGUGCUUAACACAUGCAAGUCGAACGAGAAGAGAUGAGAAGCUUGCUUCUUAUUGAUUCGAGUGGCAAACGGGUGAGUAACGCGUAAGCAACCUGCCCUUCAGAUGGGGACAACAGCUGGAAACGGCUGCUAAUACCGAAUACGUUCUUUUGUCGCAUGGCAGAGGGAAGAAAGGGAGGCUCUUCGGAGCUUUCGCUGAAGGAGGGGCUUGCGUCUGAUUAGCUAGUUGGAGGGGUAACGGCCCACCAAGGCGACGAUCAGUAGCCGGCCUGAGAGGGUGAACGGCCACAUUGGAACUGAGACACGGUCCAGACUCCUACGGGAGGCAGCAGUGGGGAAUCUUCCGCAAUGGCGAAAGCCUGACGGAGCAACGCCGCGUGAGUGAAGAAGGUCUUCGGAUCGUAAAGCUCUGUUGUCGGGGACGAAUGUUGAGACCUAGAACAUAGGUUUCAAAUUGACGGUACCUGACGAGGAAGCCACGGCUAACUAC